GCCAGGAAUCCAAUAGGCGCAAUGGUUCUCGUCCGACCACCGAAGUUAAACUACGUUGGGCCUGGUUGGUACUUGCAUGGGUGACCGGCUAGGAAUACCGGGUGUUGCUGACA
rnacentral:rRNA from 1 species